UUGAGUCCAACUUUUCCAUUACACUUUAGUGAAAUCACACAAAUAUACAAACUCAGCAGAAGGCAAUGGCAAUGAUAUAAAAACUGACACAGGCUAUUACAUGAAAGAUUCAUCAUCAUCAUCAUCAUCAUCAUUACAUUUUAACUCAGCAAAAAUAAAAAAAUAAAAACAAGGCAAUGGCAAAUGGUAUCAAAAAAUGGGCCCUGACUACGUCCUGGAAAGUAUCAAGGCGACGUGUUUCUGCGUUUUCAGUGAAAACAAAGGAAAUAAAGUUUUUCCAGCCAGAGUGAUGAACGGCGGCACUGCAGAGCAAAGGGCAGCGAGUCGAGAGGAUCUGAGCAUCACAUUUUUAUUUACGAGAAUCAGAUUCUUUAUUCAACAAAAAAAGAAAGUCAGCUGGUCGAGGCUCUGCUGUCAGGACAUUCUUCAACGUUUCUAUUUUAUUGUUUUAUUUGUUCUCUUUCCACGAUAUGACCUUUAUUUGCUGGUAUUUGUAGCAUGAAGAGUUGUCAUAUAUUUAGAUGUAAUGAUGGCAAUGGUGUCGCUACAAGUAGAAGUACUUACUGGUUUAAUUACACGUACACUACCAGUCAAAAGUUUGGACACACCUCAUUCAAUGGUUUUUAUUUAAUUACUUUCUACAUUUUAGAUUAAUACUGAAGAUUAACAGUGUUUUGUUUACAACAUAAUUGCACAUGUAUUCUUCUACAGUUUUGAUGUCUACAGUAUUAAUAUACAAUGUAGGAAGUAAUUAGAUAAAAACUAUUGAAUGAGAAGAUGUGUCCAAACUUUUGACUGGUAGUUUAGCUACAACUAAAUGUAGUAAAACCAGUAACAUUACAACUUGUAGAACUACAGACGGUUCUGUAAAGUAAAAUGGUUCUCACCAGUUUAACUACAUUCCUCAGUGGUAAUAACAGUGCUAGCAUGCUAUCAGUGCCAGGCAGUGGUUUUGUUACCAGCAGCAGUGUUACUAGCUUAACUGUAAUGGUGCUAGCUAGCUAGCUAACAGUGUUGUGCAGCAGUUUCGGUACAAAUAGCAUUCUUAGUUUAACUACAUUUCUGAGUAGUUUUGUGGUAAUAGUGGUGCUAGCUAACAGUAUUAGAAAGUGUUGUCGCUACAAGUACAGCUACAUUUCUCAGUAGGGUGGCGCUAACAGCACUGUGCUCUGAAUCAAACAGCUGUUUAGCGGUGAAGCUCUUUUGUUGAUCCUGUUCUGUGGUAGUUAGUGACCAGAAAUACUACAAAUGGUGAAUUUUACUGAAGCACAACGGAGCUUUUAGUGAAAUGAAAGUAAGGAUCCGAAUAUGACAACAUCACCUUACGUAAACCUGCUAAUGCUAGCUAGCAGCUAACUACUAGCCGACGAUGUGUUUUUCAAUCUGUAGGUAAACAGCCAAUGACUUAAAAAAAAAAACAAUCUUUAUCUUGCCGUAUUGGUGGAAAAGCUGAGUUUGAACUUGUUUUUAGCUCAUUUUAUCUUUCAGCUAUCAUGGUGGUUUUGUAAAUUCUUUAAACCGUCAACAUGCUUGGCUGGUUAUUUAUGUUGUCAAGUCUGAACCUCUAACUGCUGCCGACUCCCUCUGGGAUGUUCCUUCAUGAACAAAUAAAACUCGGACAAAUCUGAAACACCUGAACUGAUGCGGCCGUUUUUUAACAUUAAUUUGUGACAUUACAGCCUCGCGACCCGACACCUGCAGUGCCGCCUGAAUGAACAAUCCCAUCCGGAACUAAGACACAAGAUCCAGCGUGAGCGCCGCUUCUCAACCAGCGGCUCAGGGACCCCAACAAGGACCUUUUUGGAUGUUUUUAAAAUCUCUGUUCAGAAAAGUGCUUACAGA
ensembl:lncRNA